UGGGUCGACCGGGCAAUCGCGGGCGGCUACGCCGCUUGAGGAAAGUCCGCGCUCUAAAGAGCAUGGUGCCGGGUAACACCCGGUCGGGGCAACCCGGGGAUAGGGCCACAGAAAAUGACCGCCUCAGGGCGCAAGCCUUUGAGGCAAGGGUGAAAAGGUGGUGUAAGAGACCACCGGCGCCGGCAGCAAUGUCGACGGCCAGGCAACCCCCACCAGGAGCAAGGCCAAGCAGAGGCAAAGCCCGCUUAUGCGGGCGAGGAGCUGCUCGUUCCUUUCAAGCCUCGGGUAGGCUGCUUGAACCCCGCGGUGACGUUGGGUCCAGAUGGAUGAUUGUCCCGAUGAUGACCUUCGACGUUUCGUCGAGUCAGGAUCGGACAGAACGCGGCUUAUAGGUUGAGCCAAUCG
rnacentral:RNase_P_RNA from 1 species